GAGUCGUUGGCGGUCAGCCUAUUCAACGGUGACACGGACGAACAAUCGAGCAGCCCCUGCCAGGAGGAGGCUGAGGCGCGAUUGAAAGAGUCUGUGGAAGACAUUCCAGAGAGUCCAACCUGUUUUGACUCUUCACCCAGUAGGAAAAGAACAUCAACAAAGGUAUAUGAAGGCAUUAUUCUGGAACGUCAUAUCUUCCAGUUAUGACAUUGUCAAGUUAUGUCGAGGUAGCUUUCUUCAAUGGGCAAGUUCAUGCAAAAUAAAAAAUAAAAUAAAAAAAAAAAGUCUAAAUGACAAGUACCGCGGUGACCAGAUAGAAAACUGCUCUUGCUAUGAGUCAUGAUACAGUGAAUU